CUUUUGGUCCAAUGCAACGAUUGAAAACCUUCCAUUGCUGCCACACUCCAUUGAGUAAUGAAUGAUAUGCUGCAACAAUUAUGGGAUGGUCUUACCAUGGUCUAUUGGGUUAUCCUGUACUUUUUUUUGGCAAAGCUGUGAACUUUGGGGAUGGUUUUGUGGAGGAGUUAAACUCGGGGCACCAAAGCUUUGCUCGAUUGCAUAGUGGGUUCUUUGGGUUACCUCACAUGUUCUCUAUUGUUCAGCUUCUGGGUACUAGAUCACUUCCAUGGCUUAUUCAAGCAUUACUGAUCAUAUUUCAACUAAGAUAACAACCCUUGAACCAAUGAUAACUGGAUUGCAACAAGCACUGCCGAAGUCUAUCUGUUUACUCCCAUUUGAUUGCGGUGUAACAGGUGUAUAAACGUUACAAUGCUUUUAAUAUGAUAUAAAAAAUAUUUAUAAGUUUUUAUAGUGGGACCCAGCUGAAGUAUUCUUUGUUUAG
rnacentral:lncRNA from 1 species